GCACAUCUACUCCUACGGGAGGCAGCAGUGGGGAAUAUUGCACAAUGGGCGCAAGCCUGAUGCAGCCAUGCCGCGUGUGUGAAGAAGGCCUUCGGGUUGUAAAGCACUUUCAGCGAGGAGGAAGGUGGUGAGCUUAAUACGCUCAUCAAUUGACGUUACUCGCAGAAGAAGCACCGGCUAACUCCGUGCCAGCAGCCGCGGUAAUUAGACCGU
rnacentral:rRNA from 1 species